rnacentral:rRNA from 1 species
AGUCACUGACAUUAGAUACCCCCGUAGUCCAGGGUGUAAACGCUGCAGACUUGGUGUUGGAGGCCCUUUGGGGGCAUUCAGUGCCGGAGAGAAGUUGUUAAGUCUGCUACUUGGGAGUACGUCCGCAAGGAUGAAACUUAAAGGAAUUGGCGGGGGAGCACCGCAACGGGAGGAGCGUGCGGUUUAAUUGGAUUCAACACCGUAAAACUCACCAGGGAAGACUGUUACAUGAAGGCCGAGAUGAAGACUCUGCUAGAUUUUCAG